GGCUCGUUGGUCUAGGGGUAUGAUUCUCGCUUUGGGUGUGAGAGGUCCUGGGUUCAAAUCCUGGACGAGCCC
rnacentral:tRNA from 2 species